rnacentral:rRNA from 1 species
UACGGGGGGUGCGAGCGUUGUCCGGAAUUACUGGGCGUAAAGCGUGCGCAGGCGGUGAUGUAAGACCGAUGUGAAAUCCCCGGGCUUAACCUGGGAACUGCAUUGGUGACUGCAUCGCUCGAGUAUGGCAGAGGGGGGUAGAAUUCCACGUGUAGCAGUGAAAUGCGUAGAGAUGUGGAGGAAUACCGAUGGCGAAGGCAGCCCCCUGGGUCAAUACUGACGCUCAUGCACGAAAGCGUGGGGAGCAAACAGG